rnacentral:rRNA from 1 species
CUACGGGAGGCUGCAGUGGGGAAUAUUGGACAAUGGGCGAAAGCCUGAUCCAGCCAUGCCGCGUGUGUGAAGAAGGCCUUCGGGUUGUAAAGCACUUUCAGUGGGGAAGAAAGCCUUGGGGCUAAUACCCUCGAGGAAGGACAUCACCCACAGAAGAAGCACCGGCUAACUCCGUGCCAGCAGCCGCGGUAAUACGGAGGGUGCGAGCGUUAAUCGGAAUUACUGGGCGUAAAGCGCGUGUAGGCGGUCUGAUAAGCCGGUUGUGAAAGCCCCGGGCUCAACCUGGGAACGGCAUCCGGAACUGUCAGGCUAGAGUGCAGGAGAGGAAGGUAGAAUUCCCGGUGUAGCGGUGAAAUGCGUAGAGAUCGGGAGGAAUACCAGUGGCGAAGGCGGCCUUCUGGACUGACACUGACGCUGAGGUGCGAAAGCGUGGGUAGCAAACAGGAUUAGAUACCCGGGUAGUC